rnacentral:rRNA from 1 species
AUUGAACGCUGGCGGCAGGCCUAACACAUGCAAGUCGAACGAGUGGCGUACGGGUGAGUAAUGUCUGUGAAACUGCCCGAUGGAGGGGGAUAACUACUGGAAACUGUAGCUAAUUCCGUCUACCAUCGGAUGUGCCCAGAUGGGAUUAGCUUGUAGUGGGGGUAACGGCUCACCUAGGCGACGAUCCGUAGCUGGUCUGAGAGGAUGACCAGCCACACUGGAACGGAGACACGGUCCAGACUCCUACGGGAGGCAGCAGUGGGGAAUAUUGGACAAUGGGCGAAAGCCUGAUGCAGCCAUGCCGCGUGUAUGAAGAAGGCCUUCGGAUUGUAAAGUACUUUAAGCGGGGAGGCGUUACCCGCAGAAGAAGCACCGGCUAACUCCGUGCCAGCAGCCGCGGUAAUAC